rnacentral:tRNA from 1 species
AGCAAAUUAGCUCACUUGGUUAGAGCGAAUUCAUCCAAGAAUUAGGUCACUGGUUCAAUUCCAGUAUCUGCAA